CAGUUCACGGUGGGGAUUGAGUCCAAAAUGAUCCACGCUCAAAAAUUGGACACAUCAUUUAAAAUGUGUCACCACACUUAAUUGGAGUUCAGUUGACUUAACUGGGGUUUAACUCAACCGAACAAAAAAAACUCAAGUUAAACUCUUAACCCUUACCAACUGUUCAAACUCUCUCUCUCUCAAAUUUCAAACUCUCUCAACCUCCCACUUCUAGGAUACUCAACUCAAACCCAUCAGCAAAAUCAAAGGAAAAAAUUAGCUCACCAGAGAUCCCGACACCCAUACACGCAUCCUCUUUAAACCCAGAUCAAAGAGAGAGUAAGGGUUGGGGUUUGGAGAGAAUCGGGUGUAGAGAGAGACGCUUUUCAGACCCAAAUCAGAGAAGGUUAGGGUUCGGGUUUGUCCUCUUUAAAUCCAGAUCAGAGAGAGAGUAAGGGUUGGGGUUUGGAGAGAAUCGGGUGUAGAGAGAGACAUUGAUGCUUUUUAGACCCAAAUCAGAGAAGGUUAGGGUUUGGGUUUUGGGAAAAUCGGGAAAGAGAGAAGUUGGUGCUCAAUCUCCAAGGCUAUCGCUAGCAGCCACUGUGUUCCGCUCCACCAAUUCCGGCCGUGGUUCCGAUGAAGUUCCUCUAUCUCCCUCUUUGAUUUUUCCUUAUUUUAAUUUUCUCAACAAAAAAAAAAAGAUUUUUUAAUUUUUAGUAUUUUAUUAGGAUUUUGUUUUCUUUUGAUAAAGAAAUUGAAUUCCCUGUUGUGCUUGGGAAAAAAAUAAUGUGGAAUUUGUGUUAUUGGCUACAGAUUGUUCUUGGUCGAGCUUCAUCUUGCAACCACCCUACUGCUGGCGGCGGUGCAUAUAGACGGUGUUUACACCAUUGGUGGCCGCUGUAUGAUGAGUUUAAGUGUUUAUAGUCUAGCUGCUUGUGCAGACUGUGAGCAGAGUAACAUUAAGACUAAACAUGCCUUUACAGGGCUUCGAGUAACAAUUGAUUGCAAGCCAGAAAAUGGACACUUAAAGACAAGAGGGGUAGGGAAACUCGAUGAAGAAGGAAAGUUCAAAAUGUCUAUUCAUCGUAAGAUUGUAAAAGAUGGCAAACUGAAUGAAGAAUGCUAUUCACAGCUUCACAGUGCAUUAGCUGCACCAUGCCCUGCACAUAAUGGCCUAGAGUCUUCAAAAGUAGUAUUGUGACAUUUGUUAUUGUAAGGAUUGUAAGGAUUGAAUUUUGAUUGUAAGGAUUGUGAUAGUUGUUAUUGUAAGGAUUGAAUUUAAGGAUUGAAUUUUAAUUGUAAGGAUUGUGACAGGUGGAAUGUGGAUAUUUACAGAUAUUUGUAAGUAAAGAUUUUGAUAGUUGUGGGCUA